rnacentral:rRNA from 1 species
AUGGUGGAGGCAGAACAAGGGCCGCCCGCCCUAGCUCUCCACCCAACACCGGAGAAGCCACCACCACAGGCGCCUUUGGAGGAGAAAGCUCCAAGGCCACCUGCCCCGAGCCCUCUCCCGAAGGCAAAGCCGGCACCAACCGAAAGGAGGACGCAACGGGAGAGGAGUUAUCCGAGGCCUCCUGCCCCGGACCUCCUCCCAACGAAGAAGCAGACACGGGAGCCACCUGCCCCGCAUCACCUUCGGCAGCCGAAAGGGAGCACCCCGAAGCCGCCUACCCCAGGGCUCCUCCCGACACAUCAGGCCCGAGAAGCUGCGCCAUGUCCUUAG